GUAGGAUACGGAGAUAUGACACCACAUACGUCAUUUGGAAGAUUGGUGGGAUCCUUGUGUGCAGUUAUGGGAGUACUCACUAUUGCUCUACCAGUUCCAGUAUGAUUUUCCAAC
rnacentral:sRNA from 14 species